UACGUAGGCAGCGAGCGUUGUUCGGAGUUACUGGGCGUAAAGCGUGCGCAGGCGGUGAUGUAAGACCGAUGUGAAAUCCCCGGGCUUAACCUGGGAACUGCAUUGGUGACUGCAUUGCUGGAGUAUGGCAGAGGGGGGGUGGAAUUCCACGUGUAGCAGUGAAAUGCGUAGAGAUGUGGAGGAACACCGAUGGCGAAGGCAGCCCCCCUGGGCUAACACUGACGCUCAUGCACGAAAGCGUGGGGAGCAAACAGG
rnacentral:rRNA from 1 species